rnacentral:rRNA from 1 species
GCAGUAGCCGCGGUAAUACGUAGGUGGCGAGCGUUGUCCGGAAUCAUUGGGCGUAAAGGGAGCGCAGGCGGGCAUGUAAGUCUUUCUUAAAAGUUCGGGGCUCAACCCCGUGAUGGGAAAGAAACUACAUGUCUUGAGUACAGGAGAGGAAAGCGGAAUUCCCAGUGUAGCGGUGAAAUGCGUAGAUAUUGGGAGGAACACCAGUGGCGAAGGCGGCUUUCUGGACUGCAACUGACGCUGAGGCUCGAAAGCCAGGGGAGCGAACGGGAUUAGAUACCCGCGUAGUCCCUGUCUCUUAUACA